GAUCAUAAUUGAAUCACAACCAUCUGUUGCUACCUCUGGAUUUAUGCGUAUUUAUGCAAUACAUCGUGUUACUACCCAUUUACGCUUUCAUAUAUUUUUAUUGGGUCUUUUGGUUUUCCUUUAUUGUUCUCCCCGAUUUGGUGUUUGUUGAUUGCUCCUAAGAACCCCUCUACAAACGACACUUCUACAUGGAUUCAUCAAAGGAGAGGGCCGACGCUGAUGCAGUCGUGGUGGCGAUGGGUGGAAAUCGAUUCUUUAAGCGUUGCAAGCUCAGAUUUGGAGUACCGAAAUCUUUCCCAACCGAUCCUCUUCGAUUUGGAGAGAAGGAAUCUUUCACAACCGGACCUCCAAUCAGAAUCGAAGAACUAUUCCGGCAGAUUGAACCCGAAAAUUUGGUUCUCGCUGCAAUAUUUGGCGUUGCAUGCAUCAUUUUCCAUUUAUGAUCGCCGAUUGUUGAUGGUUUACAACCUUUGGUUAUUCUGUUUGGAUUUAACUCGAUAAACCCGUUUCUUGAAUCCUCUUUUGAUUGAAACAGGGCAAUAUCUACAUCUAGGAUGGUUCAAUCCAUGCCGAUGGAGACUACCAGGGUUUGAACUGCUCUGAUUAGCAACGAAUUCGCGAUGGACUGGAAAGGAAAAUACUCACAAAGCGAAUUUCAGAUCAAAUUGGGCGAUUUCUUUUGUAACUGCAAAUUGGAAAUCCUGCUCCGUUGCUCAAUCUUGGGUGUUGCGUUCCUAUUUCUUCAUUUCUUGGUUUUUCGGUUACCUAAUCAAUCUACUGAUUUAUAUUAUUUUACAUGCAGAAAAGGAUCUACACUUCUUGUGGACGAUUGAGGUAAAUCCGAGGAGGACUGCCUUAAAAGUUUUGAAGAUUGAACUAAGGCGGAGGUGGUUCUUCCGAUUCCCGGUGUCUGCAUGUCUUUACCAAGGAAAUCACAUACUCUGGUCCCUAUAUAUGAUAUACUUUACCAAAGGAAGACAUGAUUAGGAUGGAAAGAGUUUCAAGAUUCUGAUCAUUAUACUUGUUGGAUUAAAUGACAAUAUCUGCUAUGGAUGAAUGACGCCUCAUGCUCCUCUGAUAAGGUAUGGAUGAGGAUUUCCUUAGCCAUUGAGGUCCCACGAUAACCAGAUGGGAGCUGUUGGAACUGACUAGCAUGGAUAUAGCUCGGAAUGCCUUCAUCCUAUUAGAGGUUAUAAUGCAAGUAAAUUAUCAUUUCCAUGGAUGUCUUUGGAGGAUGACAGGGACGCCUCGAUGGCAAGGUCGUUACAAUAAGGCAACUGAGGAGUAUGGACAGCUUCUUGCAGACUGAGCUAUAGUUGCUCUCAUCAAUAGAUUCACUACUUCAGAAACUAGAAGAAUUUACCUUCACGACAGAAGAAGAUGUGGAUCUUGCUGACUUGGGAGAUUUUGUGGGAGAGGAAGUGGUAGAUUUACCCCACUGUCUGAUUGGGAAACCCAUCACCCAACGUGAAAUUGAUGGCAGUGCCGUAACCCAGGUAUUUUGAAAUAUCUGGGGGCACCGACAUGCGAUUGAUAUUGAGGAAUUGAAAUCGGGAAUGCUUUUAGUCAAGUUUAACAGCGAGGGUGCUAUGAAGGUGGCUAUUAAUAGAUCGCCUUGGACAUUUGAUGGGGACUAUUUAUCCCUGUGGAAUAUGAUCCGACUAAAGGGGUGGAUGAAUAUUCUUUUAAGUUGAUGAACAUUUGGGUAAAGAUAUACAACCUACCACUGGACUGAUGAAAGAAGAGACGGGCUUCUCACUAGGGAAGAAAAUUAUAUGGGUGGUAGCGUUGGAUUUGUGCCAGCAGAAUGGUAGCUUUGGUGAAUUCCUUCGGUUCCGGGUUGAGCUUAACAUCCACAAUUCUCUGCUGAGAUGCAUAAGGAUACCAGAUUGACAAUGAGGUAAACCUAGAGUAUGUCCAUUAAAAUAUGAACGUUUACCGAUUUUUUUGCUUUAAAUGUGGAGUAAUAGGACAUGCCACGGAGAAAUGUACUAAGAAAGUGGAUGGCCCCAAAGACAAGAUGAAUUAUAGGGACUGGUUGAAGGUUGUGACACAACAACCAAGGGUCCGAUCUAGACCAAAGCAAUUUAUUUACGUAGACUCUGAAUCUCUCAGACUACUGCUGGGGAAAUCAUGAAAACUGUAGAUAUGGCGGGUACUUCUUCCAAGGAUCCGCAAGUGGGAAAGCAAGGUAAUAAUGAUAA